UCAGGCCUAACACAUGCAAGUCGAGCGAGGACUUCGGUCCUAGCGGCGGACGGGUGAGUAACGCGUGGGAACGUGCCCUUUGCUUCGGAAUAGCCCUGGGAAACUGGGAGUAAUACCGGAUGAGCCCUACGGGGGAAAGAUUUAUCGGCGAAGGAUCGGCCCGCGUUGGAUUAGGUAGUUGGUGGGGUAAUGGCCUACCAAGCCGACGAUCCAUAGCUGGUUUGAGAGGAUGAUCAGCCACACUGGGACUGAGACACGGCCCAGACUCCUACGGGAGGCAGCAGUGGGGAAUCUUAGACAAGUGGGGGAAACCCUGAUCUAGCCAUGCCGCGUGAGCGAAAGAGGCCUUAGGGUUGUAAAGCUCUUCAGCUGGAAGAUAAUGA
rnacentral:rRNA from 1 species